UGGAUUAGGCAUGCAAGUCGAACGGCUUUUCUAGCUUUUCCGGAAAAGCAGUGGCGAAAGGGUGAGGAGCACGUGGGUAAUCUGCCCUAGAGAUCGGGAUAACCUACCGAAAGGUGGGCUAAUACCGGAUACGUCAUCGUAACGCAAGUUGCGAUGGGAAAGAUGGGGACCUCGAAAGGGGCCUAUCACUCCUGGAUGAGCCCGCGUCCUAUCAGCUAGUUGGUGAGGUAAUGGCUCACCAAGGCUAAGACGGGUAGCUGGUCUGAGAGGAUGGUCAGCCACACUGGGACUGAGACACUGCCCAGACACCUACGGGUGGCUGCAGUCGAGAAUCUUUCGCAAUGGGGGCAACCCUGACGAAGCGACGCCGCGUGUAGGAUGAAGGCCUUCGGGUUGUAAACUAC
rnacentral:rRNA from 1 species